UACGGAAGGCAGCAGUGGGGAAUAUUGCACAAUGGGCGCAAGCCUGAUGCAGCCAUGCCGCGUGUAUGAAAAAGGCCUUCGGGUUGUAAAGUACUUUCAGUCGUGAGGAAGGUGUUAAGGUUAAUAACCUUAGCAAUUGACGUUAGCGACAGAAGAAGCACCGGCUAACUCCGUGCCAGCAGCCGCGGUAAUACGGAGGGUGCGAGCGUUAAUCGGAAUUACUGGGCGUAAAGGGCACGCAGGCGGUUAAUUAAGUUGGAUGUGAAAUCCCCGGGCUAACCUGGGAAUGGCAUUCAAGACUGGUUAGCUAGAGUCUUGUAGAGGGGGGUAGAAUUCCAUGUGUAGCGGUGAAAUGCGUAGAGAUGUGGAGGAAUACCGGUGGCGAAGGCGGCCCCUGGACAAAGACUGACGCUCAUGUGCGAAAGCGUGGGGAGCAAACAGGGAUUAGAUACC
rnacentral:rRNA from 1 species